UUGCAAACCCUUGUCAAUAUUACACCGUGGUUGGAUUUCGUGUGACCAGACAAAACACCUGCUCGUCGGUACGGUUUGCAAGUUCGGCUCCCACCCUGACUACUGUCUUCACGGCUCUGACACUGCAGACUAUUUGGCACAAGACCGGUGUAGAAUCUCGAGUCUGCCCGUUUGAAACCCUCGGAUCUGCCCUCAACUGCUACCCAGCAGUACGUAUAUGGUGAUUAACUGUUCCGACGGGUUCAAUUUCCAGAGCGUAUGCAAGUUCACUUACACUAAUGGUUUCGGAAUUCUACCGGGCCAUAAGAGAGUGCGAGCGUGCGACGCAAGCGGGAUCUGGGCCGGUGAAGAACCGAUUUACCGCGACGUCACCCCUCCAAAGUACACAACUUGUCCCAAUCUGCUUGUUUUCUACGCUGAUCGAUCUGCGGAUGAUACCGCAGAAGUUGGCAAGCGCCUGUCUACUGGGACAAUGCAGGUUUGGGUGAAACUAUCGCAGUACAGAUUAAAGGUCCCAGUCCGGGAUCCGUCAUACGAGUGGGCGAGUACACCGUAGUGUACCAGGCGUGGGACAAGGAGAAAAACGCAGCAAUCUGUGAAA